rnacentral:lncRNA from 1 species
ACCCAUCAGUGAGUGGCAAAACUGGGAAAAACCCCAGCUCAGCUUGAUCUGGAAACCUUGGCCUCAUUUCACCCGGCACAGUGCCUCUGCAGAGACAGAGGGCUCCUUUGUGGAGCCCUCGAGUGCUAGACGGACCCACAAAAUUACUCAUCAGCUGCAGUCCGCCCCGACUAGUUGUGGACGAUGUCUGCCAGCUGCCUACAGAAUCCACCCUUUUCCUUUGGAAUUCCCUCCUUCUCCUGACGCUGACAAUACCCUUGCCCUUCAGAGGACCUGCCUUCCCACUCUCCAUUGGACACUGUGGAACUUCUUGGCGUCCAGUCCCAAGGGCACAGCCACCGCAGGACUUCACGUCUGCCUGCCUGAGCAGGGCUGGUGUCUUAUGAAUGGCAGCUGAGACCCAGUUCAGGCUCACGACCUCAUAUCACAGAAAUGAACUCAAAGGAAAAUGACUAAUCACCGACCUACUCAGAAUCAUUGGUCCCCGGCAAGCAAGGGUGAUCCUGCAUCAAUCUAUUAAUUUUCAUUUCCAGGGUUCUCAGAUGUAAAACAAAUGUUUGAUGUAAUCCGCAACACUGCUCUGUUAUAAUUAAACAACCUCCUACUGCCUAAAUUGGCAAAGCACUCCAUCGAUCAGUGAUAAAUGUGGUCCUUGGGAGACUGCUUUUAUGUUUGUUUCACUCAUGGGAAAAUGGCCACAACCCUUUUGUAAGAUUCCUCGGCUGCUGCUCUCCCCAGGUUACAAUCAUAGUAACUGCUGCUUCUGGGAUGCCUCGCUGUAAUCCUCAUGUUCAAUGAUGGCUCAAUGGAUAUGUGCUUGAAGGAGAGUGAGUGAUGGGGAG